UACGUAGGGUGCAAGCGUUGUCCGGAAUUAUUGGGCGUAAAGAGCUCGUAGGCGGUCUGUCGCGUCGGGCUGUGAAAACUCGGGGCUCAACUCCGAGCUGCAGUCGAUACGGGCAGGCUAGAGUUCGGCAGGGGAGACUGGAAUUCCUGGUGUAGCGGUGAAAUGCGCAGAUAUCAGGAGGAACACCGGUGGCGAAGGCGGGUCUCUGGGCCGAUACUGACGCUGAGGAGCGAAAGCGUGGGGAGCGAACAGG
rnacentral:rRNA from 1 species